AACGCGAAGAACCUUACCUACUCUUGACAUCCAUGGAACCUAGCAGAGAUGCUGGGGUGCCUUCGGGAACCAUGAGACAGGUGCUGCAUGGCUGUCGUCAGCUCGUGUCGUGAGAUGUUGGGUUAAGUCCCGUAACGAGCGCAACCCUUAUCCUUAGUUGCUAACGAGUAAAGUCGAGAACUCUAAGGAGACUGCCGGUGACAAGCCGGAGGAAGGCGGGGACGACGUCAAGUCAUCAUGGCCCUUACGAGUAGGGCUACACACGUGCUACAAUGGGCAGUACAGAGGGAAGCGAAGCCGUGAGGUGAAGCGAAUCUCAGAAAGCUGCUCGUAGUCCGGAUUGGAGUCUGCAACUCGACUCCAUGAAGUUGGAAUCGCUAGUAAUCGCGGAUCAGAACGCCGCGGUGAAUACGUUCCCGGGCCUUGUACACACC
rnacentral:rRNA from 1 species